CCGGGGGCGCGCGGGGCCGAGCGCUCGCAGGCCCGGGGAGGCGCUGGCCCCCGUCGGCCCGCUCCGUGGCGACCCCGGCUGGAGCUGGCAUUCACAGCCGCCUCGGUUUGGGGUGGAAAAACUCGGAUUUCCACGGCCGGGUGCCACACACGGUGGUCGAACCCGGGGCCGGCCCAGGAGGUUUGGGAUCACGCGCAGGUGGGACUCCGCGCCCCCCCUGCGAAGCCGAGCUGGUCCAGGAGCGAAUCCGAUGGGGACGGGAAGCCACGAAAAGGCUGUGAGUGUGCGGAGAAGGGGAGGGACUUGGCCGCUGGGGCUUCGUCUUUUUUAGCCCUUGCCCGGCGCCUCCUCCCUCCAACUGCCUCUUGGGUCAGUGCCCAGUUGAGGAGCAGAGACAUAGACCAAACAGUUGCCUCCAAAACACGCAUCCUACGGAGAAUUCGGGCUCCAGUUCGGAUCCGGGCUUGAAGUUUUUGCUUGACGUGUGAGGCUUCCGUGUCAUCAUGACUUACCAAUCCUGGUGCCAGCCCACACUGAGGGUGGGUCUUCCCCGCUCUGUGCACUGACUCACACGCUGGAAACGCCCGGACAGACACACCCAGACGUGAUGCUUCACCAGUUCUCCAGCCAAGUCGGCACCUAAAAUUAACCAUCGCAGUGGCAGGAACUGAGGCACAGAAAGGCUAAAUAACCUGCCCGAGGUCACACAGCUCGUCCGUGGCAAAGCUGGGAUUCAAACCCAGGCUGGCCGGCUCUGGAGACCAUGCUUUCUGCAUGCUUUCUUGGGGCUCCUGGAACCCACGAUCUCCUUUUAGACUUGCUGCUUUUGUCGUGAUGUUUCUCAAAUGCCUCGCCUGCCACCCGCUUCUCACCCUUGUUCUUUUGACCAACGCUUACCUUCCCUUGGAGAUUACCCUCAUACUCCUCUUGAGUAGGAGGCUGAGUAUGCUUCUACAAGCAUUUCUCUUACCACAUCGAUCGCACAAAUGCCCGUCCUCCCCGGUAGACAGGAGGGUCCUUGAAGGAAGAUCUUACUCCUCCUCAUGUUCCUAGUACACCACAGGCCCUGUGCAGAUACUUGCUGAGUGAAUUCUUCCAUCCAUCCAACUGUCCACUCAUUCUUUCAACUGAUUAUUUUUUGAGCACUUGCUAUAUGGAAGACAUUGUUCUAAGUGCCAGAAAUGUACAGUGAAUAAGACACAAAAUCCUUAUUUCCAUGGAAUUUAUUUUAUUAUUUUUUAAAUUUUUAUUUAUUUAUUUAUUUUCGAGACAGAGUCUGGCUCU